GUGUAGCUUGCUAUACUGGAUGAGAGUGGCGUACGGGUGCGUAACGCGUGAGCAACCUACCCAUAUCAGGGGGAUAGCCCGGAGAAAUCCGGAUUAACACCGCAUAAUAUUACUGAAUGGCAUCAUUUAGUGAUCAAAUAUUUAUAGGAUAUGGAUGGGCUCGCGUGACAUUAGCUAGUUGGUAAGGUAACGGCUUACCAAGGCUACGAUGUCUAGGGGCUCUGAGAGGAGAAUCCCCCACACUGGUACUGAGACACGGACCAGACUCCUACGGGAGGCAGCAGUAAGGAAUAUUGGUCAAUGGAGGGAACUCUGAACCAGCCAUGCCGCGUGCAGGAUGACUGCCCUACGGGUUGUAAACUGCUUUUAUCUAGGAAUAACCCUUGGUACGUGUACCGAGCUGAAUGUACUAGAAGAAUAAGGAUCGGCUAACUCCGUGCCAGCAGCCGCGGUAAUACGGAGGAUCCGAGCGUUAUCCGGAUUUAUUGGGUUUAAAGGGUGCGUAGGCGGCCUGUUAAGUCAGGAGUGAAAUACGGCAGCUCAACUGUCGCAGUGCUCUUGAUACUGAUAGGCUUGAAUGUCGCUGAAGAUGGCGGAAUGAGACAAGUAGCGGUGAAAUGCAUAGAUAUGUCUCAGAACACCGAUUGCGAAGGCAGCUGUCUAAACGAUUAUUGACGCUGAUGCACGAAAGCGUGGGGAUCAAACAGGAUUAGAUACCCUGGUAGUCCACGCCCUAAACGAUGAUAACUCGAUGUUAGCGA
rnacentral:rRNA from 1 species